rnacentral:lncRNA from 1 species
GCAUUCAGAGUUCUUGACUGAUCUCUAAAUUGAUUACCUUGAACUGGAUGCUUUCUUUUGAUUCAAGUGGAUGCUUUUAGAGAGAAGUUGGUUCAUAGGAACCAAUAUCUCUGCUGAAAAGAUCUCCCUUCUCCAACCUGGCAAUUUCCCAGGCAGAAGAGUAGGGUUGAGCAACAGGAAAGCUAUAAGGAGGCAGUUUCUUCUCCGUGGGAACAGCUUCAAAGGGUAUUUAUUUGGAAGAAAGAGAAUCCUGAUCUGCUGGUUCCCAAACUGCCUGCAGCAGCCAGGGGUGAACCAGGCCAAGGCCAGGAACUAG